ACACCGACUCGUAAAGUUUCUUUCACCACUCGGCCCUCUACGCCAUACAGAUACUUAUCUCUUAAGUCUCUCUCUCCCCCCCUCUCUCUCUCUCUCCAGCAGUGUAUAUAUAUUGCUAAUAUACCGGAGAUUGAAGAGAAAUGGAUGAAGUUAACACAACUGUGUGCUGUAUGUGCGGCGACGUAGGCUUCUCCGUGGAGCUCUUCCGCUGCAACAGCUGCCUCUACCGCUUCCAACACUCGUAUUGUAGCAACAACUACGUGAAAUCAUCGGAGCCGACUGAGAUUUGCGAUUGGUGUUUAAGUGAGCAGAAAAGUUCUCCGUGCAGCGCGGCCUCGAGCAAAGCCAGUUCCCGGGAUGUUGGCAGCAUGAUCAUCACCUCCAAGCCGUCGGAGUAUUCGGGUGACAGUAGUCCGACCAAGGGGCACAGCGGCUCCAGCCACAUGAGAAAGAAUAUAAUUGUUAGUGGAGUGCCUUCCCCAAGGACUGUUGCUCGCAGGUACAAGCUUCUUAAGGAUGUUAAGUGUUAAAUUCGAAUGAUACUGUACCUAAGUUUCUACCUUAGGUUGUUACUCCAAAUGAUCGGCGCUGCAAUAAAAUGAGUCUGAUCGGUGGUUCUCAUGUUUUCUAAUAUGCGAAACAAUUUAUGUAAAGAAGUCGUACAUGUAUCAUGUAACUAAUUAAGACCUAAGCAAAAUAUUUACAAUCUAGUGAUGUGAUACUGUGCAUUUAAAUAA